AUGCUUAGUACGGCGAGUGAGCGGCAAAGCUCAAUUUGAAAUCUGGUACCUUCGGUGCCCGAGUUGUAAUUUGGAGAGGGCAACUUUGGGGCCGUUCCUUGUCUAUGUUCCUUGGAACAGGACGUCAUAGAGGGUGAGAAUCCCGUGUGGCGAGGAGUGCGGUUCUUUGUAAAGUGCCUUCGAAGAGUCGAGUUGUUUGGGAAUGCAGCUCUAAGUGGGUGGUAAAUUCCAUCUAAAGCUAAAUAUUGGCGAGAGACCGAUAGCGAACAAGUACAGUGAUGGAAAGAUGAAAAGAACUUUGAAAAGAGAGUGAAAAAGUACGUGAAAUUGUUGAAAGGGAAGGGCAUUUGAUCAGACAUGGUGUUUUGUGCCCUCUGCUCCUUGUGGGUAGGGGAAUCUCGCAUUUC
rnacentral:rRNA from 1 species